UUGACUAAAACAGGUUUAUUUCUAUCAGUGGAACAGUUAGAGGUGGUUGGAGUCUCUAUGGCCAUCUUUCAUACAUAGUAUAUUUCUCCAUGGUUGCUGUACUGCUGUAACCAUGCCCUAUAGCCCAGCCAGCAGGAAUGAGAGAAGGGUCCAUGGGCUAGACUGAGCUGACUUCCAUCCGUGCCUUCCAUGGCCCAGGCACUAAGGCCAGUAUUGGCCAGAGCUUAGUCAGAUGGUCGUGGGAACUAGUGAUACACUGAGGUUCGUAGUGCCCACUGGUUGUGAUGACCCAUCACAUUGCAUGGCCUCCUGCCCUGUUCAGCAAAUGGGAGGCCAUGGGUGAAGCAGAGUGCCCU
ensembl:sense_intronic Gm15835 predicted gene 15835